rnacentral:rRNA from 1 species
AGCGAACAUUGGCGGUAGGCUUAACACAUGCAGGUCGAGCGAGGCGUAAUAGUCGAGCGGCGAACGGGUGAGUAAUACAUGGGAAUCUACCUCGAAGUGGGGGAUAACAGCCAGAAAUGGCUGCUAAUACCGCAUAAUCCGGGAACGGGAAAGCGCGCUGCGCUUUGAGAUGAGCCCAUGGCUGAUUAGCUAGUUGGUGGGGUAAAGGCCUACCAAGGCGACGAUCAGUAGCUGGUCUGAGAGGAUGAUCAGCCACACUGGAACUGAGACACGGUCCAGACUCCUACGGGAGGCAGCAGUGGGGAAUCUUGCGCAAUGGGGGCAACCCUGACGCAGCCAUACCGCGUGUGCGAUGAAGGUCUUCGGAUUGUAAAGCACUUUCAGUAGGGACGACGAUGACGGUACCUACAGAAGAAGUCACGGCUAACUUCGUGCCAGCCGCCGCCGUAA